CUUCGUGUAUCUUAUUAUUAUAGUUGAUUGUGUCGUGCUGCGUGAAAUUGUACUGUUUGUUUGUGAACUAUUACAAAGAUGUUUCUGUCGCAAGAGAACCUGGCUGAAGAAAUCCGGCAACAAGCCGCUUCUAUAGGUGCCUAAUGCGAGAAAAAUUCCGCUAAGUGAAAGUUCUGGACGCGGAGUUUGUAAAUACCACGCUGCAUAUUUCCACAUCCACGACGAAAUAGCUGUAGGACCCUGUUCAAUAAGGCAGAUUAUCAAGAUGAAGUGGGCCGGGACCAAAUGGAUGCCUGUUUCUCAGCAAGCGGUGUCCAACUGCUAAAUUACCCCGGUCUUAUCAGUAUGGGCUAUCAUUAAAGCCGGGGGUUUUCGAUGCACACAUGUGACCCUUCAUGGGCCAUAGGAAUAUGAAGACCGCUUUUUGUAUAUCUUUUCCAUCACGGAACAAUGGUGUUCCGGACCUUUGGGAGGCGUGCGCGGAGCCGUAGGCAACACAUACGGGAUCAUAUCAAUUACGUGGACAAGUCGUAUGGUGGGACAACCUACGACGCCUUUAUAUGGAGCAACAGCGUUAGUCGAGAUUACUUCGAGCAGCUGGCAUGUGUGGCACCAGCGAAAUAGUGUACAUUAGAUAUGGGAACAAGUCAACUACAUCAUUAACAUGGACGCGUCGUACGGCAGGGCAACCCACGACGCCUUCAUAUGUAGCAAUAGCAUUAGUCAAGACUACUUCGAGCAGCGGAC